ensembl:lncRNA
UGCCACCAAGGUCCCCUUAGGUGUCCCCAAGCUCCUCCAAGAUGCCACCAAGGUCCUCCAAGAUGCCACCAAGGUGCCUUUACUUGUCCCCAAGGUCCUCCAAAAUGCCACCAAGGUCCUCCAAGAUGCCACCAAGGUCCCCUUAGGUGUCCCCAAGCUCCUCCUGGAUGACCCCAAGGUCGUCCAAGAUGCCACCAAGGUCCUCCUGGAUGACGCCAAACCCCUCUCAGAUGCCACCAAGGUGCCCUUUAUUGUCCCCAAGGUCCUCCAAGAUGCCACCAAGGUCCCUUUAGGUGUCCCCAAGGUCCUCCAAGGUGCCACCAAGGUCCUCCAAGGUGCCACCAAGGUCCCUUUAGGUGUCCCCAAGCUCCUCCUGGAUGACCCCAAGGUCCUCCAAGAUGCCACCAAGGUCCUCCAAGAUGCUACCAAGCUCCUCUUGGGUGACCCCAACCCCUCUGAGAUGCCACCAAGGUCCCCUUUGGUGUCCCCAAGGUCCUCCAAGAUGCCACCAAGGUGCCUUUACUUGUCUCCAAGGUCCUCCAAGGUGCCACCCAGGUCCUCCAAGAUGCCACCAAGCUCCCCUUACUUGUCCCCAAACUCCUCCAAGAUGCCACCAAGCUCCUCCUGGCUGCCCCCAACCCCUUCCUCCUCNCUAUGGGAUCUAUGGGGCUCGGUGGGUCUCUGUGGGUCGCUAUGGGGCAGCGCUGUGGGUCCAUCCGUGGGGCGGAGGCGUGCGGUCGCUCUCUCUUUUUAUUAGCAGCCAACAGCGUCGCGCCCCGACCCACAACCGCCCCACACCGCCCCCCCGCACCGCGCCCCACACUUAUGGGGCCGCCAGCAUCCUGGGGGGGCCACCCACGUCGCUAUGGGGCCACCACGUCCCUAUGGGGCCACCCACAUCCCUAUGGGGCCACCACGUCCCUAUGGGGUCACCCACGUCCCUAUGGGGUCACCCACGUCCCUAUGGGGCCACCACGUCGCUAUGGGGCCACCCACGUCGCUAUGGGGCCACCCACGUCGCUAUGGGGCGACAACGUCCCUAUGGGGCCACCCACAUCGCUAUGGGGCCACCACGUCGCUAUGGGGCCACCACGUCCCUAUGGGGCAACAACGUCCCCAUGGGGCCACCAUGUCCCUAUGGGGCCACCCACGUCCCUAUGGGGCCACCCACGUCCCUAUGGGGCCACCACGUUGCUAUGGGGCCACCAUGUCCCUAUGGGGUCACCCACGUCCCUAUGGGGCCACCACGUCGCUAUGGGGCCACCAUGUCCCUAUGGGGCCACCCUCGUCGCUAUGGGGCCACCACGUCGCUAUGGGGCCACCACGUCCCUAUGGGGUCGCCCACGUCCCUAUGGGGUCGCCCACGUCGCUAUGGGGCCACCAUGACCCUAUGGGGCCACCCAUGUCGCUAUGGGGCCACCCACGUCCCUAUGGGGCCACCACAUCCCUAUGGGGUCACCCACAUCCCUAUGGGGUCACCCACGUCGCUAUGGGGCCACUAUGACCCUAUGGGGCCACCACGUCCCUAUGGGGUCACCCACAUCCCUAUGGGGCCACCACGUCGCUAUGGGGCCACCACGUCGCUAUGGGGCCACCACGUCCCUAUGGGGUCACCCACAUUGCUAUGGGGCCACCACGUCCCUAUGGGGCCACCCACGUCCCUAUGGGGCCACCCAAGUCCCUAUGGGGUCACCCAAAUCCCUAUGGGGCCACCCACAUCGCUAUGGGGCCACCAUGACCCUAUGGGGCGACAACAUCCCUAUGGGGCCACCCACGUCCCUAUGGGUUCACCCACAUCGCUAUGGGGCCACCACGUCGCUAUGGGGCCACCCAAGUCCCUAUGGGGCCACCCAUGU